UGUGGGAGCGGGCUUGCUCGCGAUGGCGGUCUGUCAGCUAUUGAUUAGUUGACUGACACAACGCUAUCGCGGGUAAGCCCGCUCCCACC
rnacentral:antisense_RNA from 1 species